CAACAUUUAAGAAUCAUGAACUCACUCCUAGGACUGCCAAGCCAAAUGUAGUUAAAUGAUUACUGGACCCAAGGCAAAAGGGGGUUGGCAUUAGGCUAGUGUGGGUGAAUUAAGGGAUUUCUUGCAUUUUUGUAAGCAGCUAGCUAUUCUGUGAAGAGAUGUUGUAUUAAAUAUGUGUUUCACUGUAGGUUUCCAAUGCAAGAUCUUGAGAACAUGCAGAGCCUUAUGCUUUCCAAGCAAAUAAUAAUAAUCUUUAGCUCCAUUUUAUUGUUUAUCAGAACCAGCUUAUGGCUUUGUCUCAGAACAAUUCUGAAAACACAAUUCAAAGCUUUGAAUGGUUAAUUUACAGUGGACUGAAGCUUCACAUAUCUGACGAAUGCAGGGUAAGAAGUGCUCAGAGUAUAGCUAUUCUCUUCCGUAAGGGCUCUACAGACAUAUCCAGAUCUACCACAUAGGAACAAAUAUUGUUUGAAAGCAUCAAUACUUUACAAAGGAGGCAUCUGUCAGCAUUAACACUGAUUGUAAGACGCUAAAACUUUAGGAGUCACACUAUCUCAGCAGAUACAACCUUUCUAUUACCAUACCACUAUAGAAUACAAUUUUGAAUUCAUACACUAUACCGCUAUGCCAGGCCCCACUUGAGAUCUUCAUUCUUCCCGGAAAAAAUCUUAGUGUUUCCAGAGCACUUAGCUAUUUGUUUGCCAAAUAGCAUUGUCUCAUUCUUUGAUUAGUAUUAUUGUUCUGAAGAAACAUAUAAUAUGGGAAACUGUAAUUGUUUUCAUAGAAUGAUUCACUUCUCUGUGCAGAAAUUAUGUUGUGUCCUAUUGGUAACUGUGUGCAUCACAUCCUUCAAACACCAGAAGGAUAUUGUCUCUGUAGUAACUGCAUGAUUGUUGUUAAUUGCUGUUUUCCUGCAGUUACAACUAUAGCAAUUGCAAUUGCUUAACGUGCAAAAGCAUUACUGGGGAAGAAUGCAGUUUACAUUUAUCUUCAUUAAUAGAAUCCAGUAUUUGGAAAUGAGGAGCAACCAUCAUGCUGUGUUCAUUUGUUCCUUUGGGGCGUAUGAACAUCUGCUUACUAUGCUGUCCUAUAGAGACAAUUAUUCCACCAUCACAAUUUCCAUGAUGUUAUGUGGCAGAAAAAUGCAGCACGUAAGAUGUUUGAAGUUAUUUAAUCUUUCCAUUCUUCGAGGAAGAAGUCUGGUACCCAGAAUUCAGUUAUGACUUCAGAAGGAACAAUUGUCUCUGUGUGCCUAAUUGACUACUUUUAACAUGCUUCUGAAAGGUAUGAAUAGGAUAACAUACAAUACGUAAAGAUAACAGCAGAGAAUAUCAGGGGUCUCAAAGUUCACUUAAAUAAAGGUAGUCAGAAUUUGGAACUGUUAAAUGCCAAGUUUCAAUUAAAUGUAUAAAAUCACUGUGUUUGAAAACUGGGGGAACAUGUCCCCACCUACUUCCAUAUUUUUCUCCUUUUGUAUCGUUCACUUUUCUCUGAAUGAUGUAAUACUGCUACAGUUCCGCUGCACUCGCACUGGAUGGGGAACCUCAGUUCAGAUGAGCAUAGACUAGCAUCUAGUGCAACCUUUGCCAACCUGGUAUCCACCAGAAAUUUUGGACUGCAGUUCCCAUUAUGGGAGUUGUAGUCCAAAACAUCUGGAGGGCACCAGACAGACAAAGGCUGAUCAAGUGAAUCCCUAUAAAAUAUAUAACAAUCAGGUCAAAAGGUCAAUAGGAGAAUUAAGUAAGUGUGUUUUUCUCUGAUUCUUAAGCAUGAUCCACCCAACUGUAAGCUUUCUUAAGGGUUCAAUCAUACGCAUAGUUAACUAGGAAUCCCAUUUAAUAUAGUUUGUGUCCUGAACCUCGGCAUACCCGGAGGUCAGUCCUGAUGGUGCACACAGUCCCAAGGGUAACAUUACAGAGUAGUCAGAUGGUCCAAAUGGUCAAAUACCAGUCUAGGUCCAAUACAACGAGCAAAGUCUGAAGUCAAUCCAUAAGGUCAGGUUCCAGCCUCUGCAGAAGAUCCAGGGGGGAUUGAAGCACCUGGGAUCCGUCCCAAAGUCACAAUCUAGGGGCAUUCCCAAAGCACCCAAGCUGUGGUCCAUCAACAGAGAAAGUUGAACAAACAGUGUCUCUGACUUGCUUCCCUUCUAUCCUUCCCAAUCUUGAUUGAUGCACCUGAGCUUACUGCAACUGAGCAGCUGUGUCUCUCCACUUGACAAAAGCAUGUGAUCCUCAUCUGCCCUGAGCUUAAUCCAGCUGAGUGACCACAACCUCCUUUCAGACUUAACAAGUUCCAUGAUCUCCACCUGGUCCACUACUGAGCUGGGCUGUCUUCCCUUGCCUGCCUCAGUCUCCUGGAGUGCACUUCCUGUAGUUCCCAGUGCCUCAGAAGCCUGCCCUGUCCACAGAUAUGGGGGCAUCUCUGGUUCUGGUGAUGUGUCCCUUUCCCCUGGCUCCCAUGAACUAUCAGCUGCCCCUUCAACGUCCUCUGAUGUUCCGUAAGUACCCCCUGAGUCCCCAACUUCCCCUUCCCCAUCUACAGCUUGUCCCGGUGUAUACCAGUUAUGGCUACACCCCUCGCCGGCAUCCUCCACCCCUUCCUUGGUGUCCUGCCAGGAACAUACAAGAGUGUGCUAACUUCAAUGCCUCUUAAAAGUGCUUAAACUUGGAUGUGCCCUGCCCAGUAAGUGAGAGUUCUGCACCUGCUUAACUCCCCCACAGAAAUCCAUGGGACUUAGAAGUAUUUAGCUGUGCCUGGAUUGCACCCCAAAUUCUUAAUUGCAUCUGGAGUCCAUGGAUGAGUAGACAUGGUAUUAACACUAGGAUGUAAGUAUAUUAUAUAGUUUUCUGCUUUAAUAUUGUAAACCUGCUCAAACACCUCAUGUCAUUCUAAACAGGGGGAAAGAAUAACUGAAGCACAUGCAAAUCUUACUAAGUGCUUCAGAAAGGCCAAUAUUAACUAUAGCAGUUCUUAAUGAUAUUCUUAAAACCUUGCUGUCUCACUGCAGAUAUCUCAUACAUAACCUUAUGAAAACAAGCCAGUCGGACUUAGUCAUAGUUGAUAAUUAAUGUGCAAUGGUAUCCAGCCAGGAUUAAUUUCGUG